rnacentral:rRNA from 1 species
UACGUAGGGGGCAAGCGUUGUCCGGAUUUAUUGGGCGUAAAGAGCGUGUAGGCGGCCAUACAGGUCCGUUGUGAAAACUGGAGGCUUAACCUCCAGACGUCGAUGGAAACCGUAUGGCUAGAGUCCGGAAGAGGAGAGUGGAAUUCCUGGUGUAGCGGUGAAAUGCGCAGAUAUCAAGAAGAACACCCGUGGCGAAGGCGGCUCUCUGGGACGGUACUGACGCUGAGACGCGAAAGCGUGGGGAGCGAACAGG